GCCAGUGAAAGUCCCCAACAUUUCAUAAAUGUGCAGCUGAAGUCCACCUGGACAGAAAUCGUUCAUUGUUCCGUUAGUUGACCAAAAAUUGGAAAAACUGAUCAAUUUUGACCAAAUUGAAAAAGGCAAAAUGGUACCUUUUUUUUCAUAUCAAAUAUAAAAUAAGUUAUUUAAUUAAAUUAAAAAACCAUAAAAUAAAUAUAAAUAAUAUACAAACCCAUCAAAACAUUUCUCCUCCUUCUUCAGCGAGACUACCACCUAGCCACCGUCGCUAUGGUCGACCACACUAUUGUCAUCUCCACUAUAGCUCCCCUCACCACUUUCCCCACUACUAAUGGAAGUCACAAAGCGAAAAAGCAGCUUGCAAGUAGCAUCGGUCAAAGAGGAUUAGGAAAUUAUUGGGGAAAACCUAGGAGAACAAGACAAUAUAGCCGAGAAAAAUUCUUUGGUGGGUUCAUCUAUCUCUCGUGUUGGAGGUGAUAAAUCCUUGCAGGAAGAGACCCAUGCCACUAUUACUGUUCACCCCCAACACAAUGUACGAAGAAGCACGUCGAAUUAAAGGGCAUGUCUAUCUCAGACUUGAGUAGAUCUAGUGAGUCAGGGCUUAAGGAAAGCAGAUCUGACCCCUUUGGAAGUAGAAUUGGAGGUAGAUAAGCUAGAGGUUCUGGAACAAAUCAAGGCAAUAGUGACUGUUACCA
rnacentral:lncRNA from 1 species